rnacentral:rRNA from 1 species
GGGAACGUACCUUUUGGUUCGGAACAACACAGGGAAACUUGUGCUAAUACCGGAUAAGCCCUUACGGGGAAAGAUUUAUCGCCGAAAGAUCGGCCCGCGUCUGAUUAGCUAGUUGGUAGGGUAACGGCCUACCAAGGCGACGAUCAGUAGCUGGUCUGAGAGGAUGAUCAGCCACAUUGGGACUGAGACACGGCCCAAACUCCUACGGGAGGCAGCAGUGGGGAAUAUUGGACAAUGGGGGCAACCCUGAUCCAGCCAUGCCGCGUGAGUGAUGAAGGCCCUAGGGUUGUAAAGCUCUUUUGUGCGGGAAGAUAAUGACGGUACCGCAAGAAUAAGCCCCGGCUAACUUCGUGCCAGCAGCCGCGGUAAUACGAAGGGGGCUAGCGUUGCUCGGAAUCACUGGGCGUAAAGGGUGCGUAGGCGGGUCUUUAAGUCAGGGGUGAAAUCCUGGAGCUCAACUCCAGAACCGCCUUUGAUACUGAAGAUCUUGAGUUCGGGAGAGGUGAGUGGAACUGCGAGU